GGUGAUAGAGCUCAGUGGUAAAGCACAUGCUUAGCAUGCAAGAGGUCCUGGGUUUCAACCCCCAGUAGCUCCA
rnacentral:tRNA from 1 species